rnacentral:rRNA from 1 species
GACGAACGCUGGCGGCGUGCUUAACACAUGCAAGUCGAACGGAAAGGCCCUGCUUUUGUGGGGUGCUCGAGUGGCGAACGGGUGAGUAACACGUGAGUAACCUGCCCUUGACUUUGGGAUAACUUCAGGAAACUGGGGCUAAUACCGGAUAGGAGCUCCUGCUGCAUGGUGGGGGUUGGAAAGUUUCGGCGGUUGGGGAUGGACUCGCGGCUUAUCAGCUUGUUGGUGGGGUAGUGGCUUACCAAGGCUUUGACGGGUAGCCGGCCUGAGAGGGUGACCGGCCACAUUGGGACUAAGAGACGGCGCAGUCGCGUACGGGAGGCAGCGGGCGGGAAUCUUGCACAAUGGGCGGAAGCCUGAUGCGGCGGUGCUGCGUGCGUGAUGACGGCUUUCGGGUGGUAAACCGCUUUGGAAUUUGCCGAGGCGGGCGUGACGGUAAUGGGUAAAGAAGCACCGGCUAACUACGUG